UACAUGCGUGUAUGGGCUUACCAGUUAGUUCGCACACCGCUGGGCCACUUUCCUUGUCGGACGAGCAUACUUUGGGAGCUCUUUAGGCCGAACACCUGUUAGAACUAGUAAGCACGGCAACGCUAUGCAAAACAUAACAAAUGUACACCUACCAUUGGGUGUACGCAUCCGUACUCUUGUGAUGGAAUAGAGUCUAGCAUACAAUUUAAUGACAUGUGCGAAUCCACGGGCACGUGCUAACAUAUAACAUACAAUGCGUAAACCUAUGACGGUGAGCCACUUACUUGGUAGGACUUAGCCGAAGUACUCCCUAAAAUAUAAACUUGCGGGAGGGUCAGAACAGUGCCGAACAGGUUAAAAAUAGGGUUCCCGAGCCGAAUAAGUCGCCAGAGACAACUAAGCCGUCAGAGCCGAGGGAGUUUAGCGCCAGAAUUUUCCACGUGACGCUACCAGGAGCGGCCGCGUGUGCUAGUCGAAGUCGGGCCGAGGCACGAGUCGUCGGGUCGAGCACGGGUUUUCGGGUUGCAGUCGCGGGUCUAGGUUAAUUGCGAGUGGUGGACUGAGCAUGGACUAAAAGGAAACGAUUGCAGGUGGGCUGGGCUGUGAACGUCGGGUAUUGGAUUGGGCUUGCGGGUCUCAGG